UAAUAAAGGUGGUAUCUUGGUGUGUUUUUAGCAAUAAUGUCCUUUGAAAUGUUUUUUACUUUAUUGUAAAAGAGAAUUUUCAGGAUUUUUACUUUGAGAAAAUUAGAGUGUUUCAAGCAGGCUAACGUUUUGAAUACUGCAGCAUGGAAUAAUAAAAUAGGAUUUUAGUUCUACGUUAUUGGUUUUAAGAGCUAAAUUAAUGAUUGAUAGGAGCAGUUGGGGGCAUUUGUAUUUAACUGUCAGAGGUGAAAUUCUU
rnacentral:rRNA from 1 species